CUAUGUGCCCCGGUAGAGAAACCCUUCUACCGUAAUAAUACGUUGAGCUGUGGCACUAUGUGUGUCUAGGGUUGGACUGCUCUGGGUGAAAGAGUGAGAUGAGUCGUUAGCUCUAUGCCGCUCAUCAGGCACUCAUAGGUAUCAGUAGCCCACUGUUGCUCGUCCGAUUCAGUUCGGGACCCGUUAGCUCUCUAAUUAAGGGUACUUAAUAGCCCAUGUAGGAAUAUCGUCCUACAUAUCAGAAGUGGGAUAGGGUCCGCGUGUGCCACUGCGUGUGGAAAACCGUGAAAAUCACGGCGCGAGUGAGGAAAAAAGUGGAAAAUUGCGGAGAGGACAACGCAGAGGGCAGCGAGAGCAACAUGGCCGCCACCGUGUGGAGAAAAAAAUGCGGCGUAGAAGCAGCGAAAAGCGGCUAGAUGGGACUGCGAAGACCAUCGAGAAGCGCCCCAGCAACUGUGUGGAGGAGCACCCAGCGAUGGAAGUACCGCAAGUACCCCUAAGUGCCCCCCAGGAAAAGAAAUAAAGAGAGAAAAAAAUUGAGUUUCUUUGAGCUUUGACAUUUUUUUAUGGAAUUCUGAGAAAUUUUUGGCAAUUCCAGAAAUUUCUUUGUGUUAACCCUUUUGUGUAUUCUCUGUGUGAAUGGUGGCCACCCGCACAAAAUAAUUAUCUGUGUUGAGAACAUGUCUUAACAAGAAUUCCUUUUCAGGCGAUAUAUGAAAAUUCUUGAUCAUAUUUUAUGCUAAAUUACAUAGAAAAAUUCAUGAGAAAAAAUGCGAAUUUGUAGAAGUGUUUCAUACGAAAGUGAAAUUAGCCGUGUUUCAUGAAACAAGUUUCGACGAGAUUGAGAAACACGAAAUGUUUUGUUGGAAUUUGACCACAUCGUGACAUUUCGGUCGUGCCGAUUGAAUGUUCGGAUAUUGUGUCAUAUUUUUGUUAUUUAUUUGCGUCGUUUGAGUUUUCAAGGUAUUUGUGAGGAAAUUCAAGAAAAAUUUCAAUAAAUUGCGCAAAGAAAUCGCAGCAGAGAAACACAAAGUCGAGAAGGCAAAACACCACGGUUGCCAUGCCCAUGGGAACAAAGAAGCUAAGCGCAAUAAUUGAGCGAUUUGAUCCAGAUUUGACCGACUGCAUUGACACAGAAGAUUGGCUUGUAGAAGUUGAAAAGGCACGUUUAUGUAUCAUUGGGAAGAGAGAGUGAGAAUUCUAUGUGCUGUGCAUCCAUGAGAUUGAGAGGGCAGCUGAAAAAUGAAUCCGUAGAGCCAAAGCGAGGCUGGAUACGUGGCAAAAUUUCGUGAUUAAUUGUUGCAAUUCUUUCCUACCGUUGUGGAUUUAAGGACAUCAUUGUUGACACAAACUUUCGAAUCUCUCCCGCAACUUCUCCGCGUACUAAUUGAUGUGGAACAAAACAUUGAACGUAGACGAUUCCAAGUGCAAUUAUGGGUAGAAUUCAGGGCGAUACCAUCCGUACUGCCAUGGUAAGAAGAAUGACAAUGUGAAGCACACAAGGAAGCCAAAAAAGGAGAGAGAGCAGAAAACCACCGAAGAUCGACGAAUGCUCUGAGAAACUGUACUAUAGGUGCAAGAAGCCCGGAAAUUUGAUUGUUCAAUGGCCACAAUCAGUAACUAAUUCCAAUGAAUUCCAAGCAGAUGAUAAUUAAAUUGAAUUUGUGUAAAUAAAGAAUCUUAAGCCCACUGAGUGUAGUAAAGUGUGAGAUCAAAUAAAAGAAAUUACAGAAAGGCA